rnacentral:rRNA from 1 species
CUUUACUAUAGCCUGGAAUUGUGUUCGGGCUUCGCUUACGCAGGAUAGGUGGGAGGCUGUGAAGUUCUGCUUGUGGGCAGAAUCGAGCCAACGGUGAAAUACCACUUUAGCGAGGCUAGAAUUCUAACCCUUGCCCGUCAUCCGGGAAGGAGACAGUUUCAGGGGGGUAGUUUGACUGGGGCGGUCGCCUCCUAAAAGGUAACGGAGGCGCGCAAAGGUCCCCUCAGGCUGGUUGGAAAUCAGCCAGAGAGUGCAAAGGCAUAAGGGGGCUUGACUGCAAGACCGACAAGUCGAGCAGGGUGGAAAGACGGUCUUAGUGAUCCGACGGUGCCGCAUGGAAGGGCCGUCGCUCAACGGAUAAAAGUUA